rnacentral:rRNA from 1 species
UACGUAGGGGGCGAGCGUUGUCCGGAUUUAUUGGGCGUAAAGAGCGUGUAGGCGGUUUGGUAGGUCCGCUGUGAAAACUCGAGGCUCAACCUCGAGACGCCGGUGGAAACCAUCAGACUAGAGUCCGGAAGAGGAGAGUGGAAUUCCUGGUGUAGCGGUGAAAUGCGCAGAUAUCAGGAAGAACACCCGUGGCUAAGGCGGCUCUCUAGUACGGUACUGACGCUGAGACGCGAAAGCGUGGGGAGCGAACAGG